rnacentral:tRNA from 1 species
GCCGUCUUGGCUUAGUGGUAAAGCACUGUCUUGGUAAGACAGAGAGCGUGGGUCCGAUUCCCACAGACGGCU